rnacentral:rRNA from 1 species
AAUCGAACUCGGAGAUAGCUGGUUCUCCUCGAAAUAGCUUUAGGGCUAGCCUUGAGGUAAAAGAAUUAUGGGGGUAGAGCACUGAAUGAGGUAGGGGCCAAACCAGGUUACUGAACUCUAUCAAACUGCGAAUACCAUAAUUAGAAUACUCAGGAGUCAGACUGCGGGAGCUAAGUUCCGUGGUCAAAAGGGAAAGAGCCCAGACCGACAAUUAAGGUCCCAAAGAUAUAGUUAAGUGGAAAACGAUGUGAAUUUGCAUAAACAACCAGGAUGUUGGCUCAGAAGCAGCCACUCAUUCAAAGAGUGCGUAACAGCUCACUGGUCGAGUGAAUUUGCGCGGAAAAUUACCGGGGCUAAACUAUACACCGAAAUUUCGGAUUUACGUAUGAAAAUAUGUAAGUGGUAGAGGAGCAUUCUGUAGUAGGACGAAGUCAAAGCGAAAGCAUUGGUGGACGAGGCAGAAGAGAGAAUGCUGGAAUAAGUAGCGAGAGCAAGGUGAGAAUCCUUGCCGUCGAAAGUCUAAGGUUUCCUGGGGAAGGUUCGUCCGCCCAGGGUAAGUCGGGGCCUAAGGAGAGGCCGAAAGGCGUAUCUGAUGGAUAGCAGGUAGAGAUUCCUGCACUAUAGCUAGUUUUAAAAGAUGCAAGGGACGCAGUAGAGGAAGAUAACCAAGGAAGAGGAAAGACUUGGUCCGCAAGGGAUAGUGAAAAUUAAUAGUAACGAAAUAUCAAGAAUCACACUGACGAGAAAAGCUUGUAGAUAUUAACUAGAAAUACCCGUACCGCAAACCGACACAGGUAGAUGAGGAGAGGAUCCUAAGACGAGCGGGAGAAGCAUUGUUAAGGAACUCGGCAAAAUAACCCCGUAACUUCGGGAGAAGGGGAACCUAAGUAAAAUUAGGUCGCAGAGAAAAGGCCCAAGCAACUGUUUAACAAAAACACAGGUUUCUGCAAAAUCGAAAGAUGAAGUAUAGGAGCUGACGCCUGCCCAGUGCUGGAAGGUUAAGGGAAAGAGUUAGAUGUAAGUCGAAGCUUAGAACUAAAGCCCCAGUGAACGGCGGCCGUAACUAUAACGGUCCUAAGGUAGCGAAAUUCCUUGUCAGGUAAGUUCUGACCCGCACGAAAGGCGUAAUGAUUUGGGCACUGUCUCGACAAUGUACCCGGCGAAAUUGUAGUACUAGUGAAGAUGCUAGUUACCUGCGACAAGACAGAAAGACCCCAUGGAGCUUUACUGCAGUUUGAUACUGGGUUUCGAUAAGUUAUGUACAGGAUAGGUGGGAGACAAAGAAAGAAAGGCGUCAGCUUUUCCGGAGUCACCGUUGGGAUACCACCCUUAAUUUGUUGGAAUUCUAACUAGUGGUCAUGAUCUGGCCAGAGGACAAUGUCAGACGGGCAGUUUGACUGGGGCGGUCGCCUCCAAAAGAGUAACGGAGGCGCCCAAAGGUUCCCUCAGUGCGGACAGAAAUCGCACGAAAGAGUGUAAAGGCAGAAGGGAGCUUAACUGGAAGAUAGACAUAUCGAGCAGAUACGAAAGUAGGGCUUAGUGAUCCGGUGGAUAUUGAAUGGAAAAGCCAUCGCUCAACGGACAAAAGUUACCCUGGGGAUAACAGGCUUAUCUCCCCCAAGAGUUCACAUCGACGGGGAGGUUUGGCACCUCGAUGUCGGCUCAUCGCAUCCUGGAGCGGAAGUACGUUCCAAGGGUUGGGCUGUUCGCCCAUUAAAGCGGUACGCGAGCUGGGUUCAGAACGUCGUGAGACAGUUCGGUCCUUAUCUGUCGCAGGCGGAAGAUAUUUGAGAGGAGCUGUCCUUAGUACGAGAGGACCAGGAUGGACAUACCGAUGGUGUAUCAGUUGUCACACCAGUGGCACGGCUGAGUAGCCAAGUAUGGACGGGAUAAACGCUGAAAGCAUCUAAGUGUGAAGCCCACCUCAAGAUAAGAUAUCUCAUAUCGU